GCACUGGUAGCUCAGAAUCAAAGCGCUGGCCUUGUAAGCCAGAGAUCGGGAGUGAAACUCUCCCCCAUUGUA
rnacentral:tRNA from 1 species